UAGGGGACGAUAAUGACGGUAGCAUCAGAAUAAGGAUGGUCCAACUUCGUGCCCGCCGGGGCGGUCAUUCGGAGGAUCCCAGCGUUAUCCGGAAAUCCUGGGGGUAAAGAGUUGCGUAGGUGGCAUAGUAAGCGAGUAGUGAAAGCGUUCGGCUCAACCGGAUAUCCAUUACUUGAACUACUAAGCUAGAGGAUGAGAGAGGUUAAUGGAAUUCCCUAGUAGGAGUGAAAUCCGUAGAUAUAGG
rnacentral:rRNA from 1 species